rnacentral:lncRNA from 1 species
UGAAAACAACUCGGCACAAUUUAACGCUUUGUUGCGGUCAAGUAACUUUAGAAUUCCAGUGAGUGAACAGAGCCAGCUAUUCGGACAAAAAAUAACACAAAAAAAAAAACACUCAUAAAUGAAAACAAGUGCAGAGUAAUGAAAGAAAAAGCAUGAAGACGCGUCGAGAUGAAAGGGAAUUCUUCAGCGUGUUUUUAAGCCGAUUUGAUUCUGCGUUUUGGCCAAGCCAUGCCAAUGGCCAAUGUCCAAUGGCAUUUUGAUUAACUUGAUGAUGAUGAGGCAGUCGGCGAGGAGGAUAAUGACCUUGGAUGCCUUCCGCUGUCAACGUGGGCAGUUGGCUCAUCCUCGUUUCCUCCGAAGUGGCAUUUCCUUCGAUCUCCUGAUUGCGGUUAGAUGGCCAACUUAAUAAGCCAGAUCCCCUCGAACUAAACGUGGCCGAGAAAGCAAAUUCCGGCUCACUGCGCUUUUGGCGAGGCCAUGAGCCUCUCAGCCAAGCCAACUUAAUGCCAAUAUUUUACUCAACUGGGGAUUAGUUUUACUUUACUUUUCAGCUGAUUUCUAUAUUGAGUGACUUAAAAUCCUGAGAGGCAAACGGAAGCUGGGAUAAGAGGACUUCAAAUUACCUUCUUGCUUGAUUGCUCAAGUGUGGGUUUUCAAAUAUUUUGAAAACAAAAUCCUAUGAAUAGUGGUAAUGCAUUUUCCUAAUAUCUAAGAAAACCAGCAUUGAACUUCAUAUACAUAAAUGCCGGGUAUUUUCUCCAAAUAUCUUAAAAGUUCAUUUUUGAUCCAAAUUCCAUUGCCGAUAAAUACACUAAAUUUUCCAUUCGAAUCGC